rnacentral:tRNA from 30 species
GUCUCAGUAGCUCAAUUGGAUAGAGCAUCCCCCUCCUAAGGGGAAGGUUGGCAGUUCGAACCUGCCCUGGGACGCCA